GACGAACGCUGGCGGCGUGCCUAAUACAUGCAAGUUGAGCGAUGAAGAUUGGUGCUUGCACCAAUUUGAAGAGCAGCGAACGGGUGAGUAACGCGUGGGGAAUCUGCCUUUGAGCGGGGGACAACAUUUGGAAACGAAUGCUAAUACCGCAUAACAACUUUAAACAUAAGUUUUAAGUUUGAAAGAUGCAAUUGCAUCACUCAAAGAUGAUCCCGCGUUGUAUUAGCUAGUUGGUGAGGUAAAGGCUCACCAAGGCGAUGAUACAUAGCCGACCUGAGAGGGUGAUCGGCCACAUCGGGACUGAGACACGGCCCAAACUCCUACGGGAGGCAGCAGUAGGGAAUCUUCGGCAAUAGGCGAAAGUCUGACCGAGCAACGCCGCGUGAGUGAAGAAGGUUUUCGGAUCGUAAAACUCUGUUGGUAGAGAAGAACGUUGGUGAGAGUGGAAAGCUCAUCAAGUGACGGUAACUACCCAGAAAGGGACGGCUAACUACGUG
rnacentral:rRNA from 1 species